UGUGCUUAGCCAAGAUCAGGCACAGUGAAGUACUCAUCAUCAUCAUCAUUAUUUUGGACUUCAAUCCUAGGCUUUUUCUGUGACAUGUAGGACUUGGAGGUUCUGUAUGAGGCAACACUGCUGCUAUUAUGAGUCACUGGAAGCUGAGGUACUUCAGCUGCAGCCAAGGCUUCCUGAAUAAAUUGUUCACCAAAAAUACCUGCAUCUGUAAGCCAUUCCAGCUCUCCAAAUUGUAGAGAUUCCUUCUGAGCACAGUAACAAAACCAGAGUUACAAAUAUUAUAAGGGAAGAUAAAAAAAACUGAAAUCAAGUUUAAUACAAAGUUUUGUAUAAAUAUAUGGUUAUUUUUCAUACAAAUUUGAAUGCUUGAUUAUGUGGGCAUGUGUCAAAAUAAGUAAGAAAACAAUUUUGUGCAGCAUUAAUUCAAGACAAACUCUUCAAUGUAAUUCUUGCCCUUAUCAAUCUCUUGAUCAGAAAAGAAUCAAUGAAAACCAAACUGUGUUGAUCACUCUUCAUAACAAAAAAGAUGAGUAAGUGUCUUAUCUGAUACUUGCAUCGAAAUUUUCACAUCUUCCAGCCACAUCAAACCAGAUUAUAAUGUUCACAUGUGCCAUGAUGAUUGGCUACAACCCUUUUAUUAUUCUAUAUGGCAGUUCAAAGAUGUCCAAAUGCUACUAAUUUAUUUCAACUAUAACACUCUAAUUACUUAGUUGAGUUAGUUCAUUAUAUACACAUGCAACUAAAUUGUUAUGAAAUAAAGUUGCUUCUUACUUUCUCAGGUGAUUCAUAGCCUGUUAAUUCCAAAAAGUCAUCAACAGGCCAAGAGGGUGUGAAGCUAGGCACUUGCUGAGAAGGAACUUUCGUGGAAACUUGUUGUGCAUUCCUAUUGGGAGGCUCCAAGUGACUAUUUUCAUUGUCUUUGGUGCAU
rnacentral:lncRNA from 1 species